GACGAACGCUGGCGGCGCGCCUAACACAUGCAAGUCGAACGGAGCGGAGAGAAUCUUGCUGUUCUUAGCUUAGGGGCGAACGGGUGAGUAACGCGUGAGUAACCUGCCCUGGUGGGGGGGACAACGGUUGGAAACGACUGCUACUACCGCAUAAGCCCGCGACCCGGUGUCGGUUGGAGGGAAAAGGAUUUAUUCGCUUCAGGCUGGGCUCGCGUCCAAUUAGCUAGGUGGGGGGGUAACGGCACACCAAGGCGACGACUGGUCGUCGGACGGUGAGGGUGCACGGCCGCAUUGGGACUGGGCCACGGCCCCGACUCCUACGGGAGGCAGCGGUUGGGGCUCUUGGACAGUGGGCCAGAUCCUGCUGCGGCGUCGGCGGGUGGAGGACCAAGGUUUUCGGAUUCUAAAUCCCUCUUGUCAGAGACGAUAAUGACGGUACCUAAUAAGAAAGCACCGGCUAACUACGUG
rnacentral:rRNA from 1 species